rnacentral:rRNA from 1 species
AACGAACGCUGGCGGCAUGCCUAACACAUGCAAGUCGAACGAGACCUUCGGGUCUAGUGGCGCACGGGUGCGUAACGCGUGGGAACCUGCCCUUAGGUUCGGAAUAACUCCCCGAAGGGGGUGCUAAUACCGGAUAAUGUCUUCGGACCAAAGAUUUAUCGCCUUUGGAUGGGCCCGCGUUGGUUUAGCUAGUUGGUAGGGUAAAAGCCUACCAAGGCGACGAUCCAUAGCUGGUCUGAGAGGAUGAUCAGCAACACUGGAACUGCGACACGGCCCAGACUCCUACGCGACGCAGCAGAGUGUAAUAUUGGACAAGGGGCGAAAGCCUGAUCCAGCAAUGCCGCGUGAGUGAUGAAGGCCGUAGUGUUGUAAAGCUCUUUUACCCGGGAUGAUAAUGACAGUACCGGGAGAAUAAGCACCGGCUAACUCCGUG